rnacentral:rRNA from 1 species
CCCUUAGUUGUUCUGGGCCGCACGCGUGCUACACUGAGUGGAUCAGCGGGUCAGGUUGCGCGAAAGUGUUUCCUAAUCUUGAAAUCCGCUCGUGAUGGGGAUUGACGGUUGCAAUUUUCCGUCAUGAACGAGGAAUACCUUGUAAGCGCGGGUCAUCAUCCCGCGCUGAAUACGUCCCUGCCCUUUGUACACACCGCCCGUCGCUCCUACCGAUUGAGUGGUCCGGUGAGGCUUUGGGAUCUGAGCGGAAAGAGCGUUUCGCUGUUUCUGCUCGGAAAACUCAGUCGAACCUUAUCAUUUAGAGGAAGGAGAAGUCGUAACA